UACAGAGGGGGCAAGCGUUAUUCGGAAUUAUUGGGGCGUAAAGGCGCGUAGGCGGCCUGGCAAGUGGAAGGUGAAAAUCCCACGGGCUCAACCCGUGGAAGUGCAUGGGAAACUGCAGAGCUUGAGUACUUAAGAGGAUCGCGGAAUUCCCGGUGUAGAGGUGAAAUUCGUAGAUAUCGGGAGGAAACACCAGUGGCGAAGGCGGCGAUCUGGGAAGAUACUGACGCUGAGGUGCGAAAAGCGUGGGGGAGCAAAACAGGG
rnacentral:rRNA from 1 species